AAAAUUUAUGGUGAAACACAUUUUUUUUGCCUUAUUACUCAUCCUAAAAUUUUAACUAAUUCACGAAAAUGUCAUUAUUUAUUAUUAUUUUUUAAAAAAUGUUAUUAUUAUUCAAACAUCUUCGUCUUCAUCACCUAUUUAUGAUAAUGUAGUUAUCAAUACCACCAACCACUGUAAACAACCACAAUCAAGCUUUAAAUGCACUAGAAAACAAUUUAUACAUU
rnacentral:lncRNA from 1 species